GUCUAUGGCCAUACCACCCUGAACAUGCCUAAUGUCAUCUUGGAAGCUAAGCAGGGUCGGGCCUGGUUAGUAUUUGGAUGGGAGAAACACCAAGUUCACCAAAUCUC
rfam:Ovis aries breed Texel chromosome 2, whole genome shotgun sequence.